AACGAACGCUGGCGGCAUGCCUAACACAUGCAAGUCGAACGAGACCUUCGGGUCUAGUGGCGCACGGGUGCGUAACGCGUGGGAACCUGCCCUUAGGUUCGGAAUAACUCUCCGAAAGGGGUGCUAAUACCGGAUAAUGUCUUCGGACCAAAGAUUUAUCGCCUUUGGAUGGGCCCGCGUUGGAUUAGCUAGUUGGUAGGGUAAAAGCCUACCAAGGCGACGAUCCAUAGCUGGUCUGAGAGGAUGAUCAGCCACACUGGGACUGAGACACGGCCCAGACUCCUACGGGAAGCAGCAGUGGGGAAUAUUGGACAAUGGGCGAAAGCCUGAUCCAGCAAUGCCGCGUGAGUGAUGAAGGCCUUAGGGUUGUAAAGCUCUUUUACCCGGGAUGAUAAUGACAGUACCGGGAGAAUAAGCUCCGGCUAACUCCGUG
rnacentral:rRNA from 1 species